AGAGUUUGAUCAUGGCUCAGGAUGAACGCUGGCGGCGUGCUUAACACAUGCAAGUCGAACGAUGAAGCCCAGCUUGCUGGGUGGAUUAGUGGCGAACGGGUGAGUAACACGUGAGUAACCUGCCCCUGACUCUGGGAUAAGCCCGGGAAACUGGGUCUAAUACCGGAUAUGACCAUGGGACGCAUGUCUUGUGGUGGAAAGAUUUAUCGGUUGGGGAUGGACUCGCGGCCUAUCAGCUUGUUGGUGAGGUAAUGGCUCACCAAGGCGACGACGGGUAGCCGGCCUGAGAGGGUGACCGGCCACACUGGGACUGAGACACGGCCCAGACUCCUACGGGAGGCAGCAGUGGGGAAUAUUGCACAAUGGGCGCAAGCCUGAUGCAGCGACGCCGCGUGAGGGAUGACGGCCUUCGGGUUGUAAACCUCUUUCAGUAGGGAAGAAGCGAGAGUGACGGUACCCGCAGAAGAAGCGCCGGCUAACUACGUGCCAGCAGCCGCGGUAAUA
rnacentral:rRNA from 1 species